ensembl:lncRNA
CUUGCACACACGUUGCAUUUGAAUAACAAUAAAACGUCUUGUAAAUGAUUUAUUACGCAAAUAUUGAUUGGAGAGAGAGUAGAAGGAGCCUACGAAAUGAGUGACAAACUUAAGUCUGCGUUAUCAGACACUGUCUUCUAUCGUUAUAUAUGACUUUUCAAGGAGUGCCAGCUGUCAUUUAUAUUUACCAUGCAUGCUACUUUUCUUAUCAACUUAAUCAGAACAGACGGGAAGGAUUUCAGCGGAUCCCUUAAGGUUAGUUAAAUUAACUGCUACUGUGGACAUGCAACACACACACACACACACACACACACAACACACACACACACACACACACACACAAUGGCUGCCAACCCCUAGCCUGCUGCCAGGUUCACCCCAGUCGCUCUUUCACACCAACAGUCAACUCAAUCGCUCCCUCGCUAUCAGCGUCUCUGCCCCCUGUGGGACUGCAUAUGUCACGUUGACACGCUGCGUCGGAAAGAACAUUUAGCCAAGGACGACCUGCUACGGAGCCAGAGACACACGCACACACACACACACAGGGCCGCCAACGUUUAGACUUUUUUUUGCAAUCAUCCUUCAGUACGACAACAACUCAAUACUCUACUUUUUCAUGGCUUUUAAGAAUAGAAUAGAUGCAUUUGCAUUGACCAACGCAUCGUCAACCCUGCAUCCUCCCGAGUGCUAAGCUAACGUUGUGCUAGCUCCGUGAUGGCUAAACAACAGCGGGCAAACUCGACUACGCCAGUCUUGCCUUCACAGCCCCGGCUUUGCUGCGUAGCACGACGAAUCCCCGUUCCCCCGCACCCACAAAAACACGGAAAGCCAGCUUACCUCAAAAAGUAUAAAGUGCAACAGAGUGGAAAUGAAAGCCGGCUGUAAGGCUAAAGAAAUUUCAACGCAUUCGCAGCAUCUACGAGGGGAGGCAUUUGUCCUGCAUAAUCGCCAUUUUCUUCGCUCGUCGACCUAGUACGCUGUAGCUCUCCUCGGCUCUCUGUGUGGACUGGGGCUCGAGCCCGUAACUACAGGCGGAGCAGGCGCUGCGCAGGAAACUAACGCCGUCUCCACUUCCUAUGCCAGACACAAAAUAACCCAAGACCCAAA